UACAUUUUGAAAGUUAAUUUAGAUAAAUUCAAUAUCUAUAGAAUUUUAUUCGUCAUUAAAUGACCCAAUUAAUCGGUCCCGUGAGAUCAAAAUGAUUUAAACAGCUGUUAAACUUUACAAAUCAUAAAAUUAUUUUAUUACGCUCACAGUAUUUGGGUCAUCCAGAAACGGAAUGACAAUUUUAUCUGAAUCAUCUACGAAGUAAGUAAAUUGAAAGCGAACGGGAAACAAGGAAAAAUAGGCUGAUUGCAAGAUAUAAAUUACUACGUCCAAAAAGACAGCCCCAUCAGCAUCAGUAGUGAAAUUCCAAAACAAAAUGGAACAGAAGACCACUUCCCCCGGGAAGGCAAAUCAACCAUUCGCUGCUCGACCGAGGGCUGACGGCCCGACAUUUACCAUAGUUCUCGCUGAGCACUAUAGUAGGACUCAGUCCAACACAGUCGACGAAGAAGCAACAAACAACAGUGACUGUGGAUGGGAGGACCGAUAUGGCAAGUCAUCGUGGAUGGCCAGAACAGAGGACUGACGAAAUGGAGACACGGAACCGUUGCCACCCUAUCGGAGUGAUGAAACGUCUAAUAAUCAUAAGCAAACGAAACAAUAUCAAUAAUGCGGCGUAAUUCAUCGGCACAGUUAAUUUUUUGACAGUGUACUACUACUGGUGACAUGGACUUGAAAAUUUUUAAUUCAACCUAAUUGAAUACUUUACGGUGACGUCACUAAUAAAUUCGACCAUUCAUUUUUUACAGUCCGCUUGUAUUGUUUACAUGGUCUUAGAAAAAAUUCUUUGCGAUUUGCUUCGAGCGAAUCUAGUUGUCCGCAAAAUUUUUCUAAGUCCAUGUAAACAGUACAAGCGAACUGUCAAGAAAAGUGAGGUUAACUAAAGUA